CUCCCGUUAGGAGCCGGGGAGGCAAGGUCCAGCGUACGGUCCGGGGGAACCUUAACUGUCGUUUCUGUGCCUGGACAGUAGGUUGGAGAGUGGGGUCUGAAUGAGCUACAGUAGUGAACGCCGACGGCUUGUGUUGAGGGCAGGAAAGGGUGCACACAGCUCCGGCAGGUGCUUCCGCGAGAAAGGUGACUGAUACAACAACGUAGAGGACCCUGCAAUGUGGAGAGGCAUGAAACUGGAGGUCCAGUGCCGUGAGUUAACAAUCAAGACGUCCAUACAGGAGAUGCAUUGGUGGAUGGGUGAAGAGAUGAUAAAACGAGACGGGGUCUCCCUGUGUUACCCAGCCGGGUCUUGAACUGUGGAGCUCAAGUGAUCCUCCUGCCUCAGCCCCCUCAAAGUGUUGGGUUAUAGGCAUGAGCCGCUGUGCCUGGCCAAAACUAAUAUUUCUAAAAGCAAGAGCAUAGUAAACACAAAUUAAGGAAAGUGUCUGCAAAGGAGUCUGGGGAAGGGGAUAGAGAAAAGAGCCCCACGGGAGACGCCACACAUUGGGUCAUGUUCUAGUUUUCAGAUAGGAUGCAGCAUUCGCAGUGUUCAUCCUAUCACGUUGGUGUUUUGUUUUGUUUUGUUUUAGAGAGACAGGAUCUUGCUCUGUCACUCAGGCUAGAAUUAUAGGCGAGAGCCGCGCCUUGCCUGUCAUGCUUCUUAAUUUACCUGCAUGUUCAUAUAAUAUGUUGAAAUAUUAUAUUAUGUAUUAUAUAUUUUAUAUCUGUACUCCACUUUGGAUAUUAUGGCUCUAUGGCAGUUAUUUCAUACAUCAGCAUUUGCCAAAAUGUGGUCCAUUUUAGAAAUUUCCAUCAAAAUUACUUUUGAGAUCUUGUCAGAAUGCAGAUUCCUGGGUUCCAUGCUAGUUUACUAAAUCUUAAUUUCCAGAGAUUGGCUCAGGAAAUCACUUCCCAGGUGCUUUGUAUGUUGUUUAACAUGUGAAAACCACUUCCCUGGGUGUUUUAGGUUGGGAAACAGGGCUGUUUGAUCUGCUUCCUCUCACUGUUCACACUGUGCACCUCUAUUAUGGACUCAAAUAUUGCUGUUUAGGAGCUAUUUCCCUAAUUUUAUUUCACAUUUCCAAAGCUAUCUAUUUCCCUAAUUUUAUCAUUUCACAUUUCCGGAGUCUAGCUGGACGAGGUAUUGAGGAAACUUUUCUGAUCUGCUGAAACCUCAGGAUGGACAUUCAUGUUAAUGGCAAAGUGCAUUUGAGGAAGAAAGUGAGGAAAGGAGGGGGCAACAUAGCCAGCCCCAUCUAUACAAAAAUACAAAAAUUAGCCAGGUGUGGCGGUGUGCACCUGUGGUCCCAGCUACUCAGGACGCUGAGGCAAGAGGAUCACUUGAGCCCAGGGAGGUCAAGGCUGCAGUGACCCGAGAUUGCACCACUCAAAUGAUCCUCCUGCCUCAGUCUCCCAAGUAGCUGGGACUACAGGCACACUCCAUCAUGCCCAGAUAAUUUUUUUUUGGAGACCGAGUUGCUCUUGUAACCCAGGCUGGAGUGCAGUGACACUAUCUCUACCUCCCAGGUUCAAGCAAUUCUCAUGCCUCAGCCUCCCGAGUAGCUAGGAUUACAGGCGCCUGCCACCACACCCGGCUAAUUUUUUAUAUUUUUAGUAUUUAGGUUUUUGCCAUGUUGGCCAGGCUGGUCUUGAACUCCUGACCUCAGGUGAUCUGCCCGCCUCGGCCUCCCAAAGUGCUGGGAUUACGGGUAUGAGCCACUGCACCCAGCCCAUACCCAGCUAAUUUUUAAAAUUAUUUUUGAUAGAGAUGGAAUCUCACUAUGUUGCCCACACUGAUUUCAAACUCCUGGCCUCAAGUGAUCCUCCCACCUCAGCCUCCCAAAGCGCUGGGAUGACUGGUAUGAGCCCCCUGCCCAGCUUCAAAUGUCUUAAAAGCAGAAAGAAACAUUCAACUGCAGCUCUGAGACUUUGGGUCUGUGUGAAGUGAGUUCAGGUCAUGCAGGUGAACUCCUGGGGCGAGCAAAGGACAGACAGCACAGAUCAGAGUCCUGGAAGAGGGUGCUGGUGCACAGACCUCGCCUGGCCAAGGCAGAAAGGCUGAAGAAGCUGUGGCUUGCAUUUAAAUGGCACCCGUUCCCAAGGAGCUCAUUCAUCUUAUUUUGUUGACAAAUCCUCAUUUAUUCACACACAACAUCUAUAGGAUAGGGGGCAAUUGGCCUCACCUCACAAGUGAGAAGGCCAGGAGGAUGCAGAGAGGCUAAUUGCUAGUCUGAGUCACAAAAGAGUGAAUGGUCCUGAGCCAUUUGUUCUGACCCAGUCCCGAGACCUGCGUGUGGCACUGUAUCUGGGCCACAGGCCCUGUGCCUCUCCUAGGACCUCAAAACAAGAAGACAAACCUUUCUUUUCUCAGAGUGCACCUGUGCAUCUCUCUCUACUUUGGCCUGAAGCCUCACAAGCCGUUUUCACAGUCACAUUCCUCUGCACACGUAGGCGUCUGCAGUGCAACCCUUUUGAGGGAUCUGUUACUAUCACUUACCAAGAAAGAAAUGUCAGAGUCAUCCUUUGUCCCAAUUUUUACUUCUCUGUUAUUAAUUUCAGUCAUAACGAAUUCUCUUUUUAUGGUGCUUUUUCCUUAGCCUAUCUUUUUUCAUUAUUAACAACACUUUAUAAAGUCAUUAAGAGGAUGCCAUCCUAAUGCAUAGUAAGAGUAAAAUACAUCAUACAAAUUGAGUGAUUUUCGAUCUAAAGAUGUCGAUUAAAUAAUGCGUUUAGUAAUGGAAACCAUAGAGAAAUGGUCAUGCGGAUUCUCACUUUUAGGAUCUGAGCUGCUCCUCAAAGAGGGUCCCAUUUAAGUACAAAUAUGCACCAUGCUGGCUUAUGAAACAAGAAUGUUUUCCCUUUGCUAAUGAUGACUUGUCAUGUGACACACACAUUAUUUGUGUUAUUCUGGUGAGAUACUGUUUUCGGUCAUGCUCCAGAAGCAUAUUUAAAGUCUUACUCUAGAGACAGGGCUUACUCUUGGGGAGCUACCUGCUCCCGCAAGUGUCUCACAUUCUUCCUUUGUUGUUUUACAAAUGGAAAGCAGGGAGAUAAAACAUCCUAGGGUGGUACUGAGGAUGGUGGAGGAAACCCAUCUCAGACACCUUCUUCAUGCCUCAUGCCGCCCACACAUGAGAUAACUUCAGUAGAAGUGUUUUGCGUGCUGCAGAGAGCUGUAUAAAAUUACUGCACAAUGUUAAUAAUAGCAUUGAGAUUGUGUAAAAGCAAAUAAAAUAUUGCUUCUGAACAUGGGAAUGUUAAAUGUCUUUCUAAGUUAAAUCUAUCUGCUUUUGAAUAUAACUCAUCUUUUACCAUUUGUCCAUAUUACACCUUUGCUUCUAACAUUCAAACUUCCAUCUUUUUCUUUCUAACAUUGUUUUAUUUUUCUGAGUCCAAAUUGUGUGUACUGCCUGAACAUUCAUUAUUCUUACAUCCAUGCUCCCCCUAUGCCAACUCACCACCAGUUACUAGCCUGUGUCCCUUCUGCCUUUGGGCUGCCUUCCAGGGGGUGAGUGUAUUUGCUUCUCGUUAACAUUGGAUGUUCACCUAGCAAACACACGUUGAGAUAUUCCAGGCCUGGGGCUGGGCAGUCGGGGCACAAAAGUGAAUACAAGAGUGUUCCCCACUACAGGGAGUCUCAGUUGAGCAUCAACCAACAGCCCUCGGCAGCUGAUGUUAGAGCAGCCCAGUCAUGGAGCGAAUCUGCAGGAUCGAGUUAUUAAAACCUGUUCUUAUUGAAAGAAGUUAAAUUCCCCUCCCAGCGAGGGACAUGUACAAAAGCUGGUGCUGCCAUUCUAAUAACCAUGAGUUUAAUUCCUCAAAUAUUAACGGUUGAAUAAAUAAAUCUGGCCAUUUUUAUUAUAAUUUAAAAAGUAAACUAAUUUUUCAUUUUGGCUAAUGACAAACCUCAUGAAGCCAUGCCUCCAUGAGUGUCCUCAGCAUUUCCUGGGUGCUUUUUAUGAUGUGAAGCGACCUCAUGGUGGUCACCUAACAUGCCUGGAGCUUAAAGUGGAGAGAUUAACACUUCCUAAGGCACACAGCGACAUCCCCACUCCACAAUUAGCGUACUAUACAGUUGUUUCUGUUGAGACAAGAUCUCGCUUUGUUGCCCAGGCUGGAGUGCAGUGACACAAUCAUAGCUCGUCGCAGCCUUGAACUCCUGGGCUCAAGCAAUACUCCCACCUCAGCCUCCUGAGUAGCUGGGACUACAGGCAUGUGCCACCAUACUCAGCUGAUUUUUAAAUUUUUUGUACAGACAAGGUUGCACUGUGUUACCCAGGC
rnacentral:lncRNA from 1 species